UGACUGUCUCUUACACCUCUUCACAAUGAUGCAGGCAAUGCCCAUACCCAAAUUCCUUAUCCUCAAAACUGUCUUACUGCUAUUAUUAACAGCAAAAACACUGAGUAACAAAGCUGUCCAGACUCCUCGAGAUUUGAUAAAACACAUAGGAGAUACUGCCGUGUUCUACUGUGAACAUACUAUAUCAGGAUAUGACCGUAUGCUUUGGUACAAGCAGGGCAACUCAGAGACAGAGUUGAAAUAUCUUGGGAAUCUAUUUUAUUUAACUCCAACCCCUGAGGAGCAGAGGUUUACCCUGAAUGGAGAUGGAAGGUCGAAGGGAUCAUUCGGCAUUGCUAAACUCACUGCGGACGACAGCUCGGUUUACUUCUGUGCAGCAUAUGCACAGUUCCAUAUCUGCUGUGACCACAACACAAAAACCCCUCCUCAUACCCGACCUCAGAAGAGCAAGGACUUCAUAACACUAUAUAGGAGGAGACAAAAGAGUCCUUAUAUAUGCAAAUAUAAAAAAAAAAUGUAAUUGGUCGAGUCAGGGCUCUUUUUUGGCUGCCUAAGCUGUUGACACACUAAAUAAAUAGCAACACA